rnacentral:lncRNA from 1 species
GCAGGAUGGCAGCUUGCCGACUAAGAGAUCUCAGUGUUUGGAAAAGUUUUUUAAGGAACAGAGAUCCAAGAACCCAUAUGCUCAAGCGUUAGGAGACUGCUUAAUAAGGGAAAAAAAAAUACCAAUUCCCUAACAAAAAAGGAGAGAAAUCCCAAGACCUAUUUAUUUUAAUACAAUUAAGAAUCUGCUGAGCUGUCCCUGAUGAGUAAAUCUUGAGAGCAUUGACCUCCUUAGUGAGGCCAAAGAAUCUUUCCAGUUCAAUUUGAUCCCUCUCAUUAUCAAAAAGAAAAUUAGAUUUUUGGGCAAACAACAUAUAGCAUAGAUCACGGUCCAAUUUUUUAAAAGAAAAGAGAAACAAAUCAGGUUCCUUUGUUAAUUAAGCGUAGCUAUAUCGUUUGCUUUGGACAUCCGUCUGAUAUGCAUGAAAUGCUCGUAUCACAAAGAAUACAAAAACAAAUCCACUUCCGAAAAGGUUUUUGGUGGACCACCAUUCAGGGUCAAACUCGAAACCUCUCCCCAGUGCAAGUGCUAAGAAGAGAUUGGCCAACUAGCAAUCUGAGAACUAAACCUCAUUCCAUGAUAAGUAAUACUUGCAAGUCUUUGCUUAUAUAGUGUUUGUACUGGUAGAGUAUGCACUACCUUAAUGGCCACACAAUUCUACCUAAUGACCAUAUAAUUAAAAUAAAAGAUAUCUCUCUCUUUCUGUCAAAAUAUCAUAUGUAUACCGUCUUAGUGCUCACAUUUUAUAUCUGUUGGGCUACCAUGGCUCGCUCAAGUAAUCUCUCUCCAAAGGGCACAAUAAUAUAAAACAACAUCCAUGCAUCUAAUCCUCUUUCCUUUAGAUAACUCAUGCCAUGGCACAUGCACAUUUCAGCGACUUCCAAUAACAGCUGUGCGAUCGUCCAGGCUACGGCUUUGGUAGCUGAAGACCUUACGGGAAAGAGAGGAUCGUAUAAAGACUCAUUUGAUUGAUUGACGGAAAGUAAGCAGGGGAAGAAAGAAAUAAUUUUUAAAAAAUAUAGAGGGGACAUCUUAUUUUAUUAAAGUUUUUAAAAAAAUAAAAUAAAUUUUU